CGUAUCGCGCCGCCACUGCUUCCCUCCUCUGUUCUUUCCCCUCUCCCACGAAGCAGAGAAGAAGAGACCGAAAUUCAGUUAAUGCUCAGAGAAACACCACCGUCAGCUUCCACCAGACUCGCCGUCGCCACCGCUUCGGCCAUCCUCUGACGCCGUUGACCUCGUUCCCGGCUUCGUGAUGCUCAUCGCUGGCCCUUCCCCGGUGGUCCUCCGGUGCAAGUUCCGUCCGUUCCUCGUGCCCUUGUCACGGCGCGUGUUUCCCCAACCUCCUUCUUGACCUGGAUCAACCCCAGCCACCAUACCCGUGCUCGACUGCGGCGUCUCAUGCCACCGUCGCUGCUCCUUAUUCAGUUUCGUCAGACAAAUAAACACCACGCGGGAGGGUCCUCAACUCGCCGCCUCCUGCAACCCCACGCCUCACGGCCAAGUUCUGCUUCGGCCGCUAGAGUGCUAGACGCGUCUCCACGUCCGGCCGCUUCAUCCCGCCUUCCUCUGCAAGAUCCAUUUGAAUGAAAUACUCUGUCCAUUCUGUCAAGGUUUCAAGUGUA